rnacentral:misc_RNA from 1 species
GGAAGGAGAAGUCGUAACAAGGUUUCCGUAGGUGAACCUGCGGAAGGAUCAUUGUCGAAACCUGCCUAGCAGAGCGACCCGAGAACGAGUUUCAAUCCCGGGGGGACUUGGGGUCCUCGCGGGCUCCGCGUCCCCCCUCGUCUUGGGAGGCCAGCCGCUCAUUCGUGCCGGCGACCCUCCCGGGCGUAUAAAACGAAAGACGGCCGCGAAUUGCGCCAAGGAACUUGAAUGAAAGAGCGCGCCCCUGCCGCCCCGGAAACGGUGCGCGUGCAGGCGGCGUCGUCGUCUUCAAUAUGUCAAAACGACUCUCGGCAACGGAUAUCUCGGCUCUGGCAUCGAUGAAGAACGUAGCGAAAUGCGAUACUUGGUGUGAAUUGCAGAAUCCCGUGAACCAUCGAGUCUUUGAACGCAAGUUGCGCCCGAAGACAUUAGUCCGAGGGCACGCCUGCCUGGGCGUCACAUGUCGUUGCCCACCCCCCGGUCAUCUCCCUUGGGAAUGCGGAGUGGGGUGGGACGGAUGGUGGCCUCCCGUGCGCUCUGCCGCAUGGCUGGCAUAAAUACCAAGUCCCCAGGGACGAGCGCCACUACAAUCGGUGGUUGUUAAACCUAUCGGUGGCACGUUGUGCGUCGCUGCUUUGGGGGGCUCGUGAGACUCUGCGCUUUGCUUCGGCGGUGCUUUCAACGCGACCCCAGGUCAGGUGGGGUUACCCGCUGAAUUUAAGCAUAUCAU